AAUGUUCCAACUGCCGAUAGAAAAGGUUUGGACAGAACCUAGCAGGUAACAUGGUAAUGUAAGCCCUCAUAUUAUCCAUGGCCUUGGUUAUGUUGAAGGUUUAGGUACUGCAUUGCUGGGCUCCAAAAAGAACAUUGGCGAGGAGGACUACACGCUAGUUCACUUCAGAUGGUGUUGAGCUGGCUGGUUCAUCGUAGCUGUUUUAAGGCGAGGAUUUUUGCUUUCAGAGGGUAAUUGUCAUU